CGGUUUCCUCAACCGCACGACUUGAUUUCUGAGUUCCACGCGGCUGUGUGCCCUCAGCCUUCUCAGUUGUGCGAUUGUUGCACCUUCUCUUCUCAGGUUGCAACCAGGAAGCCAAAACACACUAAGGGGCUGGUAAUUGCAUGGACGACCCACUAAAGGACGGAGGGGACGGAAAGGUGGGCCUAUGAAAGCUCAAGCAAACUUGAUUGAGCAAAGUGAAGGACCUGACACAUCAACAGUUGGAACAUUUUCCAUCGAAGAAAUUCAAAGCCUAAAGCGCAUUCUGUCUCAACUUAACUUUUCAAUAACUAUUGAUGCAUCACAUAUGGUAAAAUUAUAAUCUUCGAACAGAGAGGAUGAUUGGCACUGGUAGAUUGCAGGAUGACUUAUAUUUCUCGUAAAGAAGUCAGAACCUAAUUGGGAAUCAAGCCACCAUUGAGAAUAAAGAAGUCAAUAUGAAAAUACUACAAUGGCACUGACGGUUGGGAAACCCUUCCAUUUUUGUUUUAGAAAAAUUAUAUUCUAAUUUGUUU